rfam:Camelus ferus unplaced genomic scaffold scaffold595, whole genome shotgun sequence.
CCAAAGGCUCUUUUCAGAGCCACCCACAUUUUCAAGUAAAGUGGCU